UGCGUAGGCAGCAAGCGUUGUUCGGAAUUACUGGGCGUAAAGAGUGUGUAGGCGGUGCUCCAAGUCUGGUGUGAAAUCUCCCGGCUUAACUGGGAGGGUGCAUUAGAAACUGGAAUGCUAGAGGAUGGGAGAGGUAAGCGGAAUUCCUGGUGUAGCGGUGAAAUGCGUAGAUAUCAGGAGGAACACCUGUGGUGUAGACAGCUUACUGGACCAUUUCUGACGCUGAGACACGAAAGCGUGGGUAGCAAACAGG
rnacentral:rRNA from 1 species